rnacentral:rRNA from 1 species
GACGAACGCUGGCGGCGUGCUUAACACAUGCAAGUCGAACGGAAAGGCCCUGCUUUUGUGGGGUGCUCGAGUGGCGAACGGGUGAGUAACACGUGAGUAACCUGCCCUUGACUUUGGGAUAACUUCAGGAAACUGGGGCUAAUACCGGAUAGGAGCUCCUGCUGCAUGGUGGGGGUUGGAAAGUUUCGGCGGUUGGGGAUGGACUCGCGGCUUAUCAGCUUGUUGGUGGGGUAGUGGCUUACCAAGGCUUUGACGGGUAGCCGGCCUGAGAGGGUGACCGGCCACAUUGGGACUGAGAUACGGCCCAGACUCCGACGGGAGGCAGCAGUGGGGAAUAUUGCACAAUGGGCGGAAGCUGAUGCAGCAACGCCGCGUGCGGGAUGACGGCCUUCGGGUUGUAAACCGCUUUCGCCUGUGACGAAGCGUGAGUGACGGUAAUGGGUAAAGAAGCACCGGCUAACUACGUG